UUUAAAGUCUAAUCUGCCCUAUGAGGAGUUAAAUGGCCGCGGUACUUUGACCGUGCAAAGGUAGCAUAAUAAUUAGUUUUUUAAUUGAAAGCUGGAAUGAACGAUUGGACGAGAAAAUAGCUGUCUCAGCUUAAUUUUAUUAGAAUUUUAUUUUUAAGUAAGAAAGCUUAAAUAGUAUUAAAAGACGAGAAGACCCUAUAGAGUUUUAUAUUUAAUUGUUUAUUAAUUUUUUAGAAUUAUUUUAUAGGUAAUUAAUUAAAUAUUUUAUUGGGGCGAUAGAAAAAUAUAAUAAACUUUUUUUGAAAUUUAAACAUUGAUUUAUGAUUUAAUGAUCCAUUUUUUAUGAUUAUAAGAUUAAGUUACCUUAGGGAUAACAGCGUAAUUUUUUUUUAGAGUUCUUAUCGAAAAAAAAGAUUGCGACCUCGAUGUUGGAUUAAAAUUAAUUCUUGGUGUAGAGGCUAAGAAAUUAGGUCUGUUCGACCUUUAAAAUUUUACAUGAUCUGAGUUUAAACCGGCGUGAGCCAGGUUGGUUUCUAUCUUUAAUUAAUUAAAAUAUUUUAGUACGAAAGGACCAAGUAUUUAUAAAAUUUGUUUUAUUUUUGAAUAAAAUUAG
rnacentral:rRNA from 1 species